ACACUCUGGUUUCCCUUCAGUACACGCAUAAAUCUUUCGCCUUUUACUAAAGAUUUCCGUGGAGGGGAACGAUUGAUGAGUCUAUAAUCAAAUUUUUUUGUAUAUCCGACAUUAGUCGGGUC